AUUGAACGCUGGCGGCAUGCCUUACACAUGCAAGUCGAACGGUAACGGGCCUUCGGGUGCCGACGAGUGGCGAACGGGUGAGUAAUACAUCGGAACGUGCCCGAUCGUGGGGGAUAACGAGGCGAAAGCUUUGCUAAUACCGCAUACGAUCUACGGAUGAAAGCAGGGGACCGCAAGGCCUUGCGCGGGCGGAGCGGCCGAUGGCAGAUUAGGUAGUUGGUGGGAUAAAAGCUUACCAAGCCGACGAUCUGUAGCUGGUCUGAGAGGAUGAUCAGCCACACUGGGACUGAGACACGGCCCAGACUCCUACGGGAGGCAGCAGUGGGGAAUUUUGGACAAUGGGCGCAAGCCUGGUCCAGCCAUGCCGAGUGCAGGAUGAAGGCCUUCGGGUUGUAAACUGCUUUUGUACGGAACGAAAAGCCUUCUUUUAAUACAGGAGGGUCAUGACGGUAACGUAAGAAUAAGCACCGGCUAACUACGUG
rnacentral:rRNA from 1 species